rnacentral:rRNA from 1 species
CGAAGGGGACUAGCGUUGUUCGGAAUCACUGGGCGUAAAGCGCACGUAGGCGGAUGUGUCAGUCAGGGGUGAAAUCCCGGGGCUCAACCUCGGAACUGCCUUUGAUACAGCACGUCUCGAGUCCGGAAGAGGUGGGUGGAAUUCCUAGUGUAGAGGUGAAAUUCGUAGAUAUUAGGAAGAACACCGGUGGCGAAGGCGGCCCACUGGUCCGGUACUGACGCUGAGGUGCGAAAGCGUGGGUAGCAAACAGG